AGCUCCAAUAGCGUAUAUUAAAGUUGUUGCAGUUAAAAAGCUCGUAGUUGGAUUUCUGGUUUAGUGCGCUUGGCCCGCCACGGUUUCGUGCGUGAGUGCCGAUGCGCGCUUACCAUCCUUCUGGAGAACGUUCCUGCCCUUUACUGGGUUGGGUUCGCAAUCCAGAACUUUUACUUUGAAAAAAUUAGAGUGUUUAAAGCAGGCUUUUGCUAUGAAUACAUUAGCAUGGAAUAAUGAUUUAGGACUUGAGUCUUAUUUUGUUGGUUUCCAGGACUGAAGUAAUGAUUGAUAGGGAUAGUUGGGGGUGCUAGUAUUCAGCGGCCAGAGGUGAAAUUCUUGGAUUCGCUGAAGACUAACUUAUGCGAAAGCAUUCACCAAGGAUGUCUUCU
rnacentral:rRNA from 1 species